rnacentral:lncRNA from 1 species
GGGCGGCUUCUCUGGCGCUUAAGUGACAGGAGGAUGGGGUUCCGCGGCGCCCUUAGCUGACCUCGUGGUGCAAGAUAGGGAAGGUCCGGACUGCAAAGAGCCGAGUUCGAGUUCCAAUGACUCUCCUUGCCCCAAAAGAGUGGGACAGAGAGGUGUGACGGUCGGUGAGAAUAGUGGGAGGAGGGGAGUGCCACAACUCGGGAAAACAAACCGGCUCUGGUGAAGCUUGUGCACGCGUUCACAGGGCGGCCCCUCCCGCGCAUCGCCCUGCCACGGCCCUAGCCCCGACACUUUUCUCCCCAGGCUUCGCCAGAGUCUCCCCGGGCCUGCCUCGCCCGUUCUCAGUGCUGCGGACCGUAUGAGUUACUGUCCGUCGUGGGCUCCAAAGUCCCGGCAGCACUUCGUCUUCGACAUCCCGCUUCCUUCACACGGGGUCGCCCCCGCCAGCCGCCUGGGUUCCAGUUUACUUUUGCCGACGACCUCCUCUGCCUGGCAUGUCCUUCCUCUCAAAUGUCACAUCUGUGAAGCCUCACCUAAAACUCUGUUUCUGAGAUCGACACCUCCAAGAUUAAACUCAUUGGUUAUGCUCCUAAUGUUGGUCUGGGAAUCAGAAACUGAGGACUGCAGACUUACUGCUAGCAUGCCACUAGACCCAGUUCCUCAGCCUCCUCUGUGGGUAGGUGUGCUGAAGGAGAAGACUCAACCAAUGAAAUGUGGACGGAAGAGAUAGACAGCCAGGCCCAUGAUCGCACCCAUCCUGCCCAACCCUCCUUUUGCCACCUGGAUGGUGAUCCCCAGGGAAUCCUUGAAAGUCAUGUGUUGCACAUGACUCUGUCUCUGUCAGUCUAGGUUCCUAAAUGACUGCAUGGAACAGACAUACUCAGACUACUACCACCUCCUCCCCUCCUCCCAUCAGUUGUACUUGAAGUGACUGAGAAGUUGUAUUAAACCACUGAUUUGUAUUAAUACCUUUGUAUUAAACCACUGAUUUUUCCAGGUUUAUCUGUUAUAGUUGCUAGGGCUAUCUUUGCAAGCUGUUUUGUACUCAGUUUCAAAGAGAGCCAAAAUGAUCGGAAAAGCAGGUGAAUUUUUCAAGUGGAUGGCUCUUUUUUAUUGUAAUCCUGCUUUCUGUGCUCCAUCAUGUGUCUCCCUUCCUUUGAUGUUUGAAGACAAUCAUCACACAAUCUGAGGGCAGAAUUUAAAA